rnacentral:rRNA from 1 species
AAGCGGUGGAUGAUGUGGUUUAAUUCGAUGCAACGCGAAAACCUUACCCACCUUUGACAUGUACGGAAUCCUUUAGAGAUAGAGGAGUGCUCGAAAGAGAGCCGUAACACAGGUGCUGCAUGGCUGUCGUCAGCUCGUGUCGCGAGAUGUUGGGUUAAGUCCCGCAACGAGCGCAACCCUUGUCAUUAGUUGCUACAUUUGGUUGGGCACUCUAAUGAGACUGCCGGUGACAAGCCGGAGGAAGGUGGGGAUGACGUCAAGUCCUCAUGGCCCUUAUAGGUGGGGCUACACACGUCAUACAAUGGCUGGUACAAAGGGUUGCCAACCCGCGAGGGGGAGCUAAUCCCACAAAGCCAGUCGUAGUCCGGAUCGUAGUCUGCAACUCGACUACGUGAAGUCGGAAUCGCUAGUAAUCGUGGAUCAGAAUGUCACGGUGAAUACGUUCCCGGGUCUU